CAAUAGCGUAUAUUAAAGUUGUUGCGGUUAAAAAGCUCGUAGUUGGAUUUCUGGGAGGGUGCCGCCGUCCGGCGUGUCCGUGUGCAGUGGCGCCCUUCCAUCCUUCUGUUAGCGUCUCUUGGCAUUCAUUUGCUGGUGGCGGGCUCAGAUAUUUUACCUUGAGAAAAUUAGAGUGUUUCAGGCAGGCUAGGCCGGAAUACAUUAGCAUGGAAUAAUGGAAUAGGACUACGGUCUCUUUGUUGGUUUGAGGGACUGCAGUAAUGAUUAAUAGGGAUAGUUGGGGGCAUUAGUAUUUAAUUGUCAGAGGUGGAAUUCUCAGAUUUGUUAAAGACUAACUUAUGCGAAAGCAUUUGCCAAGGAUGUUUNCAUUAA
rnacentral:rRNA from 1 species